AUUGAACGCUGGCGGCAUGCCUUACACAUGCAAGUCGAACGGCAGCACGGAGCUUGCUCUGGCGGCGAGUGGCGAACGGGUGAGUAAUAUAUCGGAACGUACCCAAGAGUGGGGGAUAACGUAGCGAAAGUUACGCUAAUACCGCAUACGACCUAAGGAUGAAAGCGGGGGCUCGCAAGACCUCAAGCUCCUAGAGCGGCCGAUAACUGAUUAGCUAGUUGGGGAGGUAAAGGCCUACCAAGGCAUCGAUCAGUAGCUGGUCUGAGAGGACGACCACCCACACUGGAACUGAGACACGGUCCAGACUCCUACGGGAGGCAGCAGUGGGGAAUUUUGGACAGUGGGGGCAACCCUGAUCCAGCAAUGCCGCGUGGGUGAAGACGGCCGUCGGGUUGUAAAGCUCUUUUGUCAGGGAAGAAACGGUGAAGGCUAAUAUCCUUUGCUUAUGACGGUACCUGAAGAAUAAGCACCGGCUAACUACGUGCCAGCCGCCGCCGUAAUAC
rnacentral:rRNA from 1 species